GUGUAAACUGCCAGUGUCAGUAAAAAGUUUUUUUGUGAAGAAGCAAUUGCAUAAAAAUUUUUCAUUCAAAUUUUUGGCAUUUUUAUUUAAUUUCAGUGUGAAAAUAUAGCAGGAUAAUUUGAGUAAAUAUCCGACGGACAGUUUCUCACUCCGAUAUACUAAGAUAACGGUAAAAUAAUGCACAUAACAGGGAAGGAAUGUCGCAAUUAUUUAUUACAAAAAAAAAAUUUGCCUGUUCGUACCGUUCCGGCCUUUACUUAUCAAGCACUGCAGAAGAACACAAUUGUUGAACCACCACCAAAAAUCUAUAUAUACAAAAAGCGACCUGUUAAGGAAACACUUUUCAAAAUGUAUUUUCGUCGUGGUGACAUACCGGUAGCUAAAAGAAUUAAAGGUAGUGGUAAGGGCAUUUCAGGAACAGUGAAAUGGUUUUGUGAGCCAAAGGAACUCGACUAUUGCUAUUAUUUGCCCAUCUUUGUGGAUGGUCUAGCUGAUACUGAUAUUGACAUACGUUCACUUGCCCAAGAAGCUGCAAUGGAUUUGAUACUUAAAGCGCCGCACAAAAUUUUACCAGUUCUACCUAAACUGAUUCUUCCAUUCAAAAGAGCAUUCAAUACUCGUGAUAAGCGAAUAAUAAUUUCAGCGCUGAAAGUCUUGCAAACUAUGGUUCUGGUUGGACCGUGUGUUGGACAAGCUCUCGUUCCAUACUACCGUCAGCUCUUGGCCGUAUGUAAUUUAUAUAAAAAUAUUAAUGUGAACCUCGGUUCCGGUGUUGAUCCUGAUCGUAGUCGCCGUAUCGGCGAUGUUAUUGAAGAUACACUCUCUUUGCUUGAAACAUGUGGAGGCCCCAAUGCAUUUAUCAACAUUAAGUAUAUGAUUCCGACUUAUGAAAGUAGCACCCAUCCCAUAUGUGAGCCGUCGGCAGAAAACCCUGCUGCUUAAAGCAUAAAAUAUAAGUAGAGUUAGAUUUUGAUAGUACAAUAAUGCAGUUUACGAAAAAGCAAGAAGUUAAGCCAUUUUCAAAAUAAUAUUUUUUUUAUUUUAUUAAUGGCUUAUAUCUUGGUUUACUUCUGAACAGUUAAAAUAUAUAUCUAGUGCGACAUUAUAUUUUAUAUAUAAACAUUUAGUGCGCGUAUUGUCAUGAAUACCUUUGCUAUAUUACCAAAAAUAAAUUCAAAAUUUAUAACCGUUAAAAUGUACUGUUGAUAGUUUGACAUAUUUGAUACACCACUACAUACAUGUCCUUGUUAGUUGCUGUCAAUUUUACUUUGAUGAUUUGUCAGGGUUAAUAUGUGUUAUUGUUACUGAUAUGCAAGUAAAUGGAAAAGAAGAAGCAGAUCACAUCCUAAAAAAUAAACAAACAUAAAAUUUUGGAAACACUUCAUCGAUACAAACUAACAGCAUUGAUUAUUUUUAAAAAUGAUCGAUUCACUUUUUGAAAAUGGCUUCCGGUUGGACAGAUAUAACAGUGAAGAUCUGUUUAGCGCGCUGCUACGAUAUGGAUUAUUUCUAGGCGCAAUAUUUCAGCUCAUCUGUAUUGCUGCAUCGAUUUUGCUCCCUGCUGCUAAUGAAGGAUCCAAUUGCGAAGAUGGAAAUGAGGAUUAUAAGUUCAAUGGCGAAAUGGGAAACAUGCGCCGUUUGCACAAGUUACGCAAACAGGAUAAAAAGAAGCGACGUUGAUCUAUCGUCGUGUGCAAAUAUUUCUAACUUAGAAUGUUAACUAUAUAUAUGAGUACACAAUGUAAUUAAGAUUUUUUUUACCGAUAGAUUGUCAUGCAAUAUUUACGAGUUUAAUUUUAUAUUUUAAACAGCAGUGCAGUUAAAACCCCUUUAACUCAAUAUAUACAUAAAACACUGUGACACAUGCACAUAUUUGUAUAUUAACAAAUUAUAUUACAGUACCAGUUACAGUGCAAAAUUGCUUUUUUUUAAGAAUGUUUAGAUAUAUAAAUUUCAAAUAUAUUAUAGAUAUUCGUACACAACUUCUAACUAUAUUGUAACACUACUCGAGAGCAUACACACUCGCAUUUAGCUCAAAUUUUCCCAACGGCAGUAUUACUUAGUCUAAAGUCAACUCCGGCGACAGUGUUUUAGCAGCACUUACGCCUGCACAAUUCCAAAGUUAAACAUGCGCUUAACAUUCUUAUUAAUAUUAUUACACGGUCAGACAGGGAAAUUGAUUGUUGAAUGUAUUCCAUCAACGGAUUGUGGCGAUAUGUCUGACUGUGUUCCGGAAAGCAAUGCUAUAUGUGCACUCGAUCGGGAACUUGUCUGUUUUAAAUAUUUUGACUCCUUAUGCCAACUAAAGUUUAAAGAAUGCCAAAAUCAAAAAGAGUACUCGGUUUAUUCGCAAGCAUACUGCCAAAAUUCUGCGUUUAUGUGUACCACUUAAUUGGAGUUGUGGCAAGCAAGUGAGAAGCUGAAUUUCUAGUUAUAGCUCAUGAAUGGAAGUAUGUGUUAAUUUAUUAAAAAUAUAAAUUGCUAUAUGAAAAACUAA